rnacentral:rRNA from 1 species
GGGAGCUUGCUCCCUGAUGUUAGCGGCGGACGGGUGCAGUAACACGUGGGUAACCUGCCUGUAAGACUGGGAUAACUCCGGGAAACCGGGGCUAAUACCGGAUGGUUGUUUGAACCGCAUGGUUCAAACAUAAAAGGUGGCUUCGGCUACCACUUACAGAUGGACCCGCGGCGCAUUAGCUAGUUGGUGAGGUAACGGCUCACCAAGGCAACGAUGCGUAGCCGACCUGAGAGGGUGAUCGGCCACACUGGGACUGAGACACGGCCCAGACUCCUACGGGAGGCAAGCAGGUAGGGAAUCUUCCGCAAUGGACGAAAGUCUGACGGAGCAACGCCGCGUGAGUGAUGAAGGUUUUCGGAUCGUAAAGCUCUGUUGUUAGGGAAGAACAAGUACCGUUCGAAUAGGGCGGUACCUUGACGGUACCUAACCAGAAAGCCACGGCUAACUACGUGCCAGCAGCCGCGGUAAUACGUAGGUGGCAAGCGUUGUCCGGGAAUUAUUGGGCGUAAAGGGCUCGCAGGCGGUUUCUUAAGUCUGAUGUGAAAGCCCCCGGCUCAACCGGGGAGGGUCAUUGGAAACUGGGGAACUUGAGUGCAGAAGAGGAGAGUGGAAUUCCACGUGUAGCGGUGAAAUGCGUAGAGAUGUGGAGGAACACCAGUGGCGAAGGCGACUCUCUGGUCUGUAACUGACGCUGAGGAGCGAAAGCGUGGGGAGCGAACAGGAUUAGAUACCCCUGGUAGUCCACGCCGUAAACGAUGAGUGCUAAGUGUUAGGGGGUUUCCGCCCCUUUAGUGCUGCAGCUAACGCAUUAAGCACUCCCGCCUGGGGAGUACGGUCGCAAGACUGAAAACUCAAAGGAAUUUGACGGGGGCCCGCACAAGCGGUGGGAGCAUGUGGUUUAAUUCCGAAGCAACGCGAAGAACCCUUUACCAGGUCUUGACAUCCUCUGACAAUCCUAGAGAUAGGACCGUCCCCCCUUCGGGGGGCAGAAGUGACA